rnacentral:snRNA from 1 species
GGAUGAAGGAGUGAUCUGGCUGCAAAAUUUGUCACCCUGUUGAUCUUCUCUCACCAAUCCAUGUGCUUCCCUCCCAAAGCUGCAUGCUUAGUAGAAGAGAAUAAUGAUCUCAGAUAGGAGAUCAAUUAUACAUGCAAA